rnacentral:rRNA from 1 species
GGUAUUUUGACUGUGCUAAGGUAACAUAAUCAUUUGUUUUUUAAUUGUUAACUAGAAUGAACGGCUGUACGGUAUAAAUCUUUUUUAAUUUAAAUUUUUAAAUUUAAAUUUAAGUAAAAAUGCUUAAAUAGUAAAAGGGGACGAUAAGACCCUAAAAGCUUUAAUUAUAUUUGUACAAGUAAAGUUAUUUUAAAUUAGUAUAUUAUUAAUAUUAGCUGGGGAAGUUUUUAUAUAUUAACUAUUUUUGUUAGUACUCUAGGCUGUAAGAUCCUUUAUAUAAGGAUAAAUAGAGAGAGUUACUUUAGGGAUAACAGCAUAAUAAUUUUGUAGAGUUCUUAUUAAUAAAAUUGACUGUGACCUCGAUGUUGAAUUAAGGGAUCUAACUGGAGCAUAAAAUAGAUAGAGGGUUUGUUCAACC